rnacentral:rRNA from 1 species
GAUUAACGCUGGCGGCGUGCCUAACACAUGCAAGUCGAACGAUGAAACUUAACUGAUUUCUUCGGAAUGAUUUUAAGUGGAUUAGUGGCGGACGGGUGAGUAACGCGUGAGUAACCUGCCUUGGAGAAGGGGAUAGCCUUUGGAAACGAAGAAUAAUACCCUAUGAUAUGAUAAUAUCUCAUGAUAUUAUCAUCAAAGAUUUAUCGCUCUAAGAUGGACUUGCGUCUGAUUAGUUAGUUGGUGAGGUAACAGCUCACCAAGGCAGCGAUCAGUAGCCGGCUUGAGAGAGUGUACGGCCACAUUGGGACUGAGACACGGCCCAGACUCCUACGGGAGGCAGCAGUGGGGAAUUUUGCACAAUGGGGGAAACCCUGAUGCAGCGACGCCGCGUGAUUUAGAAGGCCUUCGGGUUGUAAAAAUCUUUUGUAUGGGAAGAAAAUGACAGUACCAUACGAAUAAGGACCGGCUAAUUACGUG